rnacentral:rRNA from 1 species
UACAGAGGGGGCAAGCGUUGUUCGGAAUUACUGGGCGUAAAGGGCGCGUAGGCGGCCUGCUAAGUCGAACGUGAAAUCCCUGGGCUCAACCCAGGAACUGCGUCCGAUACUGGUUGGCUUGAAUCCGGGAGAGGGACGUGGAAUUCCAGGUGUAGCGGUGAAAUGCGUAGAUAUCUGGAGGAACACCGGUGGCGAAGGCGGCUCUCUGGACCGAUACUGACGCUGAGGCGCGAAAGCGUGGGGAGCAAACAGG